CAUCCAGCAUCUAAUGAAUUGGCUGAAUGGCUGGUGCAAAAUUUUAAGUGUUCUUUAAAUAAAAGCAAAGCACUUGGUGGUCAGUUGCUACAUCGUUGUAUUGCAAAUUUCUUGUUUGGGUACAGAAAC